ensembl:lncRNA
AAUUAAAUGUGUUGUUAAGAAGGUAAGUUAGUUUAUUUAAUUGUAAUAAUAAAAUGAUUGAAAUUACUAAUGUUCAAACCACAUUGGUUAGAAUUUAUAAUUUGUAUUAUAGCCUAAUGAGGUUUGUUUUACCAUAAAAUGUUUAUGAUGCCAUAAAUUAAUUUACACGUGGAUUUCUCCACCUAUAUGAAACAUAUGUUAAUCAUAAUAGAACUUCUGCUUUAAGAAGAAAACCUCUGCCUUUUAACAAGAGAUCUCUCUGUAACCAGCAACUGAAUCGGAACACUCGCGAUAAUUGUCUGUCACGUGACGUUCGGUCUGAGCAAUACAGCUGGAAGAACACAACACAAGAUGUAUUUGCUUUUAUAAUUAUUAUUAUUAUUUUUUUUGCUUUAUAUUUUAGGCGUCUCUUUACAGCUUUGUUAAGUAAUUAAUUGAUAGGAAAAGGUGUUUAUGAGGUGUAAGUGCUUUACUGCUGUUUAUUUUAAAUACAAAUAGACGGACGCACAACUUCAACGUGCAAUCCAAAAAAACGUCACAACGUCAUUUACAUACACAUGUCGGCGGAUGACACGUGCCGAUGACAUCACCUCAUUUAUCCUCAAUUUCCCGCGAAAGACCUACGCAGCGAUUAAAGAGCAGAGCAACCACAUCUUUGUCUUUUUGCUGUCCGAGACAUUAAACCAGGAGAAGAGAUUACUUACAGCUAUGGAGACUGGGAUUGGCAAGCCAAGCGUUCAUCACCUGCUCCUGUGACUGCUACAUCAUCCUCAUCCUCACCUGUGAGGAAAAGUUCAUCACCUGCCCCUGUGACUGCUACAUCAUCCUCAUCCUCAUCUGUGAGGAAAAGUUCAUCACCUGCCCCUGUGACUGCUACAUCAUCCUCAUCCUCACCUGUGAGGCAGCGUUCAUCACCUGCCCCUGUUACUGCUACAUCAUUCUCAUCCUCACCUGUGAGGAAAAGUUCAUCACCUGCCCCUGUGACUGCUACAUCAUCCUCAUCCUCACCUGUGAGGCAGCGUUCAUCACCUGCCCCUGUUACUGCUACAUCAUCCUCAUCCUCAUCUGUGAGGAAAAGUUCAUCACCUGCCCCUGUUACUGCUACAUCAUCCUCAUCCUCAUCUGUGAGGAAAAGUUCAUCACCUGCCCCUGUUACUGCUACAUCAUCCUCAUCCUCACCUGUGAGGCAGCGUUCAUCAAGAAAAAGACAGCAGGAGAGGUUUCAGUCAAGAUUGGUCACACUACGGGAACAUCAUAACAAUUGCUCCAAGCGCUUUAAUAGAGCAGAAGUUGAAAAAACCAACAGAACAAAAAAGACUGCCAUACUUGAGGAUUGCGUUGUAUUCGAGUCUUCUGAUGCACCAUGUGCUAUGUGUACCUCUGUAAAGGCAUCACCACCCUCUCGCCCUUCUCCACUCCCUUCAUCAUCAUCAUCAUCAGCUGCCCCUGUGAUGGGCACAUCAUCUUCAUCCUCCCCAUCAUCACCUGCCCCUUUGCCCUGUGAUGCAUCCACUUCUGUGAUCUCUCCAUCACAGGUGUCCCAGACACUCUCAAUAAGGGAGGUUCAUCAAUCCCUUCAAAAAGAAAAUGGGAGGACUCUGAGGUAAAAGCAGUUGAAAAACAUAUGAUGAAGUUCAUAAAGACCUGCAGAGUUCCUGGUAAGCAAGACUGUGAGAGAUGCAUUAAAGCAGAGUCAGAAGCCUUAAAGGAACGAACAUGGACUGGUGUGAAAAAUUAUGUGCGGAACAGGAUCACAACUUGAGGUGGAUUUUAGAGGCUACAUUGCCUUUUACUGUAAAGUGAAGAACAUGGUGAGGAAAAUGUUAAAAGCAUCAAUGCCAUUUACACCAUAUCAAACUUUAAUAACUUCUGUAAGGCCCUGUUAUACCCCGUUUUAACACUUUCCACAUCAUGCUCAUCAUUUUAAAGAAAUUAGAUAAAAGUUUAAGUAGAAAGAUGUAUAAAGAGGGAGAAUUUGUUUGAGGACAGAAGGAAACACAAUGUUAAC